CACCCGGUCUUCACCGCUGGGGCGGGCAUCCAGUACCUCUGGUGGUUCGACUGC
rnacentral:tRNA from 1 species